GCAUGUGGAUUGAAAUAGAUGUUGAUAGUAUCAAAUGUACGCUACAUAUAUAGACCAAUGGAAACCCCUCGAAUUGUCUCAAACAAUGACAUACUUGAAAUUUAUAUUGGAUUAAGAUGACAUCGAGGAUAUCAAGGAUAUCAGUGUUACCCAGUUGAGUAUAGAGAUGCGGCUUCUAUAUCACAUGAUUAGCUAGAUCUUCUUCACGGUUAUAUAUCACAUUCUUCGAAAGAUUUCACUUUGCGUAUCAGUACUCAUGCUACAGUAGAUGUCAA
rnacentral:lncRNA from 1 species